GGGCUAGUAGCUCAGUUAAUUAGAGCACCACCAUAUGUAGACGGAAGUCCUGGGUUUAAUCCCUGGCUGGUCCA
rnacentral:tRNA from 2 species